rnacentral:rRNA from 1 species
CUUAACCCCGGAAGUGCAUAUGAAACUAUGAAACUUGAGUAUGGCGACGAGGGAAGCGGAAUUCCUGGUGUAGCGGUGAAAUGCGUAUAUAUCAGGAGGAACACCGGUGGCGAAGGCGGCUUCCUGGACCACUACUGACGCUGAGGCGCGAAAGCGUGGGGAGCGAACAGGAUUAGACACCCUGGUAGUCCACGCAGUAAACGUUGAUCACUAGGUGUGGCGGGUAUUGACCCCUGCUGUGCCGGAGUUAACUCAUUAAGCGAUCCGCCUGCGGAGUACCAUCGCUAGAUUAAAACUCAAAGGAAUUGACGGGGGCCCGCACAAGCGGUGGAGCAUGUGGUUUAAUUCGACGCAACGCGAAGAACCUUACCUGGACUUGANANNNC